CAGGACGAACGCUGGCGGCGUGCUUCAUACAUGCAAGUCGAACGAGAAGUCACCUUCGGGUGAUGGAAAGUGGCGGACGGGUGAGUAAUGUGUAGAGAAUCUGCCCUUUAGUGGGGGACAACAGUUGGAAACGACUGCUAAUACCCCAUAUGCGCGUAGCUGAGAUGCUAUUCGUGAAAACUCCGGUGCUAAAGGAUGAGUCUGCAUCUGAUUAGCUAGUUGGCGGUGUAAUGGACCACCAAGGCGACGAUCAGUAGCUGGUUUGAGAGGAUGAUCAGCCACAAUGGGACUGAGACACGGCCCAUACUCCUACGGGAGGCAGCAGUAGGGAAUUUUGCGCAAUGGGGGAAACCCUGACGCAGCAACGCCGCGUGAUUGAAUAAGCCCUUCGGGGUGUAAAGAUCUGUCAGUAGGGACGAAACUUGACGGUACCUACAGAGGAAGCAUCGGCUAACUCCGUGCCAGCCGCCGC
rnacentral:rRNA from 1 species